UACGGGAGGCUGCAGUGGGGAAUAUUGCACAAUGGGGGAAACCCUGAUGCAGCAACGCCGCGUGAGUGAAGAAGUAUUUCGGUAUUUAAAGCUCUAUCAGCAGGGAAGAAGAUGACGGUACCUGAUUAAGAAGCCCCGGCUAACUACGUGCAAGCAGCCGCGGUAAGACGGAGGAUGCGAGCGUUAUCCGGAUUUAUUGGGUUUAAAGGGUGCGCAGGCGGAGGGGCAAGUCAGUGGUCAAAUUGCGGGGCUCAACCCCGUACUGCCGUUGAAACUGCAUCCCUUGAGUGCGCGAGAAGUAUGCGGAAUGCGUGGUGUAGCGGUGAAAUGCAUAGAUAGCACGAAGAACACCGGUGGCGAAGGCAGCAUACCGGCGCGCAACUGACGCUCAUGCACGAAAGCGUGGGUAUCGAACAGGAUUAGAUACCCGAGUAGUC
rnacentral:rRNA from 1 species